CGUCUGAAAGCCGUUUUGGGCCCAGGCUCUGGUUUCAUCCCCUCUUUGGGCAAUCGAUAUAUCAGGCUGUUUUUACCCUGGGAGCUUCUAAUGGCAAGAGCUCUUGGAGCUCUGGUAACAUUAUAUGUCUAACAGGGGCGGGGGAAGAGAAAACCAGGAGCUUGAGUCUCAAUGUGGUGCUUCACUCGGCAAUAAAUCCAAGUGGCAACAAAGCGGGCAGAUAGCAUAAAACAGAUACCAGCAAAAAAUGAAUCCAAACGUUCAAUGCAACCAAGUAAAGGAGGUCUGAAAUCUUCUAAAGGAGAAGAGCAGAACAGCAGGAUGCAUCCUGAGCGCCACAGUGUCUGCAGGACGCCACCUUUGUCAGGACAAACUAAGAGCAAAUGUACAGCUCGACUCUGGAGUCGGGAGGUUAGCGGUAUGGACUUCAUAAAGUCAGAGGUGCUAUUCAACGACUAAAAGCUCCCGCCCCGCCGAGCUCUCCGACUGGCUGGAUUCUGAGCAAGAGAUGCUGAGGUAAUGGCUUCCUUAUGGACUCCCGGCGCAAGAGUGAUGGGCUGACAGAAGGUAUGUUAAAUAUCUCCCACUCUGACUACAACAUCGGGACCCUGACCCCUUUGAAAGGGAAGGCUUAACAAGGGACUCCGAAGGUCAGCGAGCUGUAAUAUGUCAAUGGGAUUUAAAGGGAAGACGACUGUGCUGUGUUUACAUGAGCUGGGGUUCCACUACUUUCAGUCCAAGGAGGAAAAUGUGGGAAAAGCUGUCUGUCUUAGACCUCAACACACAUCCUGGGACUCUGACUGACCUCAUGUUCUCCAUGGUGUCCUCAGGCAUGGGUGCCACCGUCUGAACCUCAGGCAGAUUCUUGCUGGUGGCUCCAUUCACAAAGCUGGAGGAAGAGGGAGUGGAUGCAUCUGUGGCUCCUGUGACACAAAAAGAAAUCACAGGAAACAACAUAACUACAAAGGCACAAACUUUGUGAAACAUCCCCAUUACUCUGGCCUCCCCCUGAGAAAGUGAAGCACCAUCUUACAUUCCUCUCUCUAUGUCAAAGCCACAGAGUCAACAGCGC